rnacentral:lncRNA from 1 species
UGGGGAGGAAAUGGGGAAAAUGGGGGGAAAUGGGGGGCAAUGGGGAGAAAUGGGGGGAAAAUGAAGAAAAAUGGGGGGAACAGGGGGAAAUGGGAAAAAAUGGGGAGAAAUGGGGGAAAACGGGGGGAAAACGGGGGAAAUGGGGGGAAAUGGUAAAAAUGGGAGAAGGCAGGGGGAUUAUGGGGGAAAAUGGGGAAAAAUUGGGGGAAAUGGGGGAAAAUGGGGAGAAAAUAGGGGAAAAUAGGAAAAACACAGGAGAUAAUGGGGAAAAUUGGGGGAAAAUGGGGAAAAAAGAGGAGAAAUGGGGAGAAAAUGGAGGGAAAUGGGGAAAAUUGAGGGGAAUGGGGAGAAAUGGGAGGAAAUGGGGAAAAAUGGGGGAAAAUGGGGAGAAAAUGGGGACAAAUGGGAAAAAAUGGGGGGAAAUGGGAAAAAAUGGAGAAAAAUUGGGGAAAAUGGGGGAAAAUGGGGAAAAAUGGGGAAAGGCAGGGGGAUUAUGGGGGAAAUGGGGAAAAAUGGGAAUAAACGCAGUUAGAGAGGGUGGAAAUGGGGAGAAAUGGGGAAACGUGGGGAAAAGGACCCCGCCCCCACCCCAAAAUCCACUCAGGGACCCCGAAAGCCCCUCAGGGUCCUCUCGACCCCUAUCGGACCCCACAAAUUCCCCAAAAAUCCCCCAAAUUUCAAAAAAAAAAUCCCCACAAAACCCCAAAAUGCCCCCAAAUCCCUCAGAAAUCGCCUCAAACUCCCCAAAAAAUCUCCCCAAAUUCCAAAUUCCCCCAAAUCCCCCCAAAAAGCCCCAAAAUGCCCUGAAAAUGCCCAUGAAAGUGCCCCAGAAAAAGCCCCAAAAUCCCUCAGAAAUCGCCCCAAAUUCCCCAAAAAAUGCCCCAAAAAGCACCAAAAAUCUCCCGAAAUCCCCCCCAAAAAAACCCCAAAAGCCCCCCAGAAGUGCCCCCAAAAGCCCGAAAAUUCCCCCAAAAUACCCCAAAAAGCCUCAAAAAUGCCCCAAAUCC